UACGUAGGGUGCAAGCGUUACUCGGAAUUACUGGGCGUAAAGCGUGCGCAGGCGGUUUUGUAAGCCAGAUGUGAAAUCCCCGGGCUUAACCUGGGAAUGGCAUUUGGGACUGCAAGGCUGGAGUACGGCAGAGGAGACUGGAAUUCCUGGUGUAGCAGUGAAAUGCGUAGAGAUCAGGAGGAAUACCGAUGGCGAAGGCAGGUCUCUGGGCUGAUACUGACGCUCAUGCACGAAAGCGUGGGGGAGCAAACAGG
rnacentral:rRNA from 1 species